rnacentral:rRNA from 1 species
CCUACGGGGGGCAGCAGUGGGGAAUAUUGGGCAUUGGGCGAAAGCCUGACCCAGCAACGCCGCGUGAAGGAAGAAGGCUUUCGGGUUGUAAACUUCUUUUGACAGGGAAGAGCAGAAGACGGUACCUGUCGAAUACGCCACGGCUAACUACGUGCCAGCAGCCGCGGUCAUACGUAGGUGGCAGGCGUUGUCCGGAUUUACUGGGUGUAAAGGGCGUGUAGCCAGGCUGACAAGUCAGAUGUGAAAUCCGGGGGCGCAACCCCCGAACUGAAUUUGCAACUGGUGGUCUUGAGUGUCGGAGAGGCAGGCGGAAUACUUGGUGUAGCGGUGAAAUGCGUAGAUAUUAGGAGGAACACCAGGGGCGAAGGCAGCCUACUGGACGACAACUGACGGUGAGGCGCGAAAGCGUGGGGAGCAAACAGGAUUAGAUACCCCAGUAGUC